UACGUAGGGCGCAAGCGUUGUCCGGAAUUAUUGGGCGUAAAGAGCUCGUAGGCGGUGUGUCGCGUCGGAUGUGAAAGCCCGGGGCUUAACCCCGGGUCUGCAUUCGAUACAGGCAGACUAGAGUGUGGUAGGGGAGAUCGGAAUUCCUGGUGUAGCGGUGAAAUGCGCAGAUAUCAGGAGGAACACCGGUGGCGAAGGCGGGUCUCUGGGCCGGUACCGACGCUGAGGAGCGAAAGCGUGGGGAGCGAACAGG
rnacentral:rRNA from 1 species